CCCGCCGGGCAGCGAGCGUCUCCCCGCGGCCGCGGCCGCAGCAUCCCGGGCCGCCGGAGAGCACCCGGGGGGCUGACCACCGAGGUAGGAGGGCGGUGCGCCCUCUGCCCUCGGCGCUCUGAAACGCCGAGUCCCCGCCUCGCGUGCUCCCCCCCCACUACCACCACGGCCACCGGCGCCGGGGCUGCUUCUCCCCGACUCUCCCCGAGCACCUUUGCGUUUGGUGUAGGCACGAGCUUGCAAAGCCUGUCUGUCCCCACCUCCCCAAAAGCACCCUAAGGAGACUGUUUUCAGGGGGUCGGAUCACCAAUCACUUAAGCACCGGAGGCCAGCGCGAGCACUUGGCUCGGUCGCGGGGGUGGGAAGCCCACGCGCGCGUGUGUACACACGCACACGUGCACACACACACGCACGGCGUUGUAUUUUCACUCGGUUUCACCACUCACAGGCAGGGGAGCCGCGCCGAUGGUAUGAGAUACCGAAUCCGCCAUCCAGUGCGGUGUUUCCUGGGUGAGCGGCUUUUCGGGCUCACUCUCCCGAGCACUGUCAGUGAAAUGCCGGGCGGAGGAGCUAGUUGUCGUUAGGGAUAGACCUCCCGGAGCGUCUGUAAACGUCUCUGCACCUGUUGCACGGCCUGUUCGGAACACUCCCGAAUAGCGGUGAAUAUACUAAGCAGCUGCUGGUAUGCCAAGGGGAAUCCAGGUCUGCUCUAGAGGAAACUUUGAAUGUGGUAACACACAAGGCGGAAUUCCGCCUCCCGUUGACAAGGACUGGGAACUCUCCGUGUGCGAACAUCUUUUAAACGCUGGGAUUUUGACCACUCGGACAGUAAGCCAACCCAGGCAGAACACAGUUAAAUUUCCGAAAACUUCGGGCAAAUUUUCCUCCUGCGAUUAUUUGAAUCUUUCACAUUAAAGAGCCGAGUCUUGUCGAAGGUAACUUGGUGUGUGUGUGUGUGUGUGUGUGUGUGUGUGUGUGUUACCAGAAGUCGAUUUUUGUUCGCUCACAAAUUUAAUUCAGCGAAUCCCCGCUGGAAGAUCAAAUUAAGAGUUAGGCACCGUGGACCUCUGGAUUUUAUGCAGCCUGUUCACUGAUCUGGAAGUAGACAGGAUGUGUGGAAACUGAAGAGAGGCGGUGAUGCAGAAUUCCCAACAACAACCAAAAGUUGGGAAGCAAUGAAAGGAUUUGGAAAGCAUUCCUGUUACCUCUCAUAAUUCUGACAGACUGAAAGGGAA